CUAACACAUGCAAGUCGAGCGGCAGCGAGUGUAGUAGCAAUACUACAUGUCGGCGAGCGGCGGACGGGUGAGUAACGCGUAAGAACCUGCCAUAUAGAUGGGGACAACCAAGGGAAACUUUGGCUAAUACCGAAUAUUCUCGAGAGAGGAAAGGUGCCUAGCAAUAGGUGUCGCUAUAUGAGGGGCUUGCGUCCGAAUAGUUAGUUGGUGAGGUAACUGCUUACCAAGGCGAUGAUCGGUAACUGGUCUGCGAGGACGACCAGUCACACUGGGACUGGGACACGGCCCAGACUCCUACGGGAGGCAGCAGGGGUGAAUAUUGGACAAUGGGGCAACCCUGAUCCAGCGAUGCCGCGUGGGUGAAGAAGGCCUUCGGGUUGUAAAGCACUUUCAGUAGGGAGGAAGCGUUGUGUGUUAAUAGUACACAGCGUUGACGUUACCUACAGAAGAAGCACCGGCUAACUCUGUGCCAGCAGCCGCAGUAACAC
rnacentral:rRNA from 1 species